CACUGCAGGGAUUUGGGCUUUUACUCUGAAGUGGAUGGGAAGCCACUGGCGGGAUCUGAGCAGAGAAGACAUGAGACUCACCCAGCAGUGUAAGAAAAUAAACAAACUCUGAGAGGCUGUGAGUUUUGAAUUGCAGAGGGUAAAACCAGAGCCAAAAGUUCCAGAGAAAAUAUUUCAAGCUUCGGGUGUGUUUGAGGAACUGAGAAGUCACAGAAUAGCUGGAAAAGAGGAUGUAGUGUAAAGUAAACUCAGCUGCACAGACAUAUGGUCUGUUGGUGGAACUGGAGUCCGACCAGAUAAUGAUCAUCAGCGAGGCAGUGCUCUGAAGAAGCCUCUCAUCCACAGGUGGGAAAAGGAGAAAAAGGAAAGGAAAGGGAAGGGUCCCCUGCCCUCCAGCGAGCCUAGUUGAGCCCCAGCUAGGGAACCGCCUGGGCACGCGUCAGUCUGGCCUGUUUCCUGAUCCAGAAAAUUAUUUUCAGCUGCGCGUGACCUUCCACGGGGCCAGGACCGGAAAACUAGACAGCAGUGAUCUUUUUAAAACCGUGGACUCUAUGAACUAGGAAAGUCCCCUCCAAACUCGUCAACAGGAAUUCACUGCUUAUUGCAAACCCUGCUGAGACGCAGAGCGGAGAAAACAGGAGGUGCCCCAGUUUCUUCUCCCGGGUAAGACUGAGAGCUGUCCUUGAACCUGAUCGGCCAGAGAGAGUGCUGAGGAGAACCAGAGCAUCCCGUGGGGCUCCCUGGGCUGGGCUCUGCCAGGUGGGUUUCCCAGGAGAUCGGCCAUGACAGCUGCUGUGUUGGGCACUCCUCCAGGGCAGGGGUGGCCCCGGGAGAACUUGGGCAGGAGGGGGCAUGAGUCACACAGAGGGUGGCCCACUGGGUUUAUGG
rnacentral:lncRNA from 10 species